UCCCACCAUCUCGCUGUGCCAGAAAGGUUCGCCAGAACGCCGAGUCAUCGCUUGGAAACGCGCCGCGGUACAAGUAACGAACGAGGGCAGCUCUCCAGUUCCUUUCAAGCGCAGCCCUCUGAGAGAGAACUCUUUUCCUGAAACUUUGACACCAUGUCAAGGAGACUAAUGAACUGUGUAGUAUCUCUUCAUGCGUAACGAUGGGUGUCUGUCAAAUCAACGCAAGACUCAACUCGUCUGAACAAAACAACAAGCCCUCACCACCCCCGGAGAACACAGGGUAUGAUGCCCGCGGUGAAGAGGAGUCUCUUUGUUGCAGUCUCAAAGAUAGCAGCAGCUCUCGCUCCCUCCCCAAGACUGCUAUCAAAUUAUUCCACUGGCCCUUUGAGCAUCACCCCACAG